AGUCUGUGGUCAUCUAGGUGGGAGAUGAAUCUAAAAGAGAAUGGAUGUGUGGACAUGUAUCAGUGAAUCACUUGGUGGUACAGCUGAAAUGAUCAUAGCCUUGUAUCAACUGGACUUCAAGAAAAUGUUUAACAAGUGAAAAAUAAAAAAAGAAACAACACUGCAGCCGUAAAGCAGGGUCCUGGUUCCUCCUUGAGGGUCCUACAGAGCAAUAUGCCCCUGAGCUCUUCUGCAGGAAGGAAGCCCCCAUCCUGGUGCAGGAUGCUCACUUCAGGCCAAGCACAAGCAGGUGGAGCCUCGACUCACUAGAACCGGAAGGCUGAUGACUGAGAUCCCUGGAACUCCGCCCUGUGACCUCCCCACCAACCAAUCAGGGAAGGUUCACACUCCCUGCAGCCCUUCUCCCAGGUGUUGCCUAUCACACCUCUUCUCCCAAAACCCUUGAGUUUGCAUCUGUUAAGCAUGAGCCACUUAAUCUCCUGGCUCAGCCCUGCAGUAAACCUUCCUCUGCCCCAAACUCUAUCCUUCCAGUUUGUUUGACCUACAACAAUGUUGGCAAACUGGCCAGGAGCCCGUCCAUGCCUGUGGCAGUUCGACCCCAGCCAGGGAAGUGGGGGACCCCCAGAAGCUGCCAGAGGUCCUUUUGCUCCAAGGAAUUCAGAGGGACUCUUCCUGAUGACACCAGUGAUCCUCAGCAUGAGGCUUCUGGAGUGAAGAAACUGAACCAGCAUCCACCUUUGGUUUGGUUUGGAGGACAUCUAUGCAUGUGA
rnacentral:lncRNA from 1 species